GGGGCUGGAGAGAUGGCUCAGCUGACUGAUGUUCCAGAGGACCUGGGUUCAAUUCCCAGCAGCCCCA
rnacentral:tRNA from 1 species